GACGAACGCUGGCGGCGUGCUUAACACAUGCAAGUCGAACGGUAAGGCCCCUUCGGGGGUACACGAGUGGCGAACGGGUGAGUAACACGUGGGUGAUCUGCCCUGCACUUCGGGAUAAGCCUGGGAAACUGGGUCUAAUACCGGAUAGGACCACGCUCUGCAUGGAGUGUGGUGGAAAGCUUUUGCGGUGUGGGAUGGGCCCGCGGCCUAUCAGCUUGUUGGUGGGGUGAUGGCCUACCAAGGCGACGACGGGUAGCCGGCCUGGGAGGGUGUCCGGCCACACUGGGACUGAGAUACGGCCCAGACUCCUACGGGAGGCAGCAGUGGGGAAUAUUGCACAAUGGGCGCAAGCCUGAUGCAGCGACGCCGCGUGGGGGAUGACGGCCUUCGGGUUGUAAACCUCUUUCAGUACCGACGAAGCGCAAGUGACGGUAGGUACAGAAGAAGCACCGGCCAACUACGUG
rnacentral:rRNA from 1 species